ACGACCUUACUUGAACAGGAUCUGUUCUAUAGGCUCGUACCACUGUAUCCUUGAGUUCUAAGGAGACAGAAAACCAAGUCUGGUUGAUGAGGCAUGGCCAAUAGACCAGAGCGUGAUUAACA
rnacentral:snoRNA from 1 species